AGAACAAAAUGAUACAGACUCUAUACCGCACAUAAGUGAAGGAGAAGAUGAUGAACAAGAGACAAGAACAGAAGAGAUUGAAAGAGAAAAAGCACAUCAGGCCUGGCUUGAGAGGGAAAGAGUAGCACAGAUAUUAUUUGAAAG